rnacentral:rRNA from 1 species
UGUGUAGGUGGCAAGGUAAGUUAGGUGUGAAAUCCUCGGGCUUAACCUGAGAAUUGCGCUUAAUACUGCCUAGCUAGAGUACUGCAGAGGGUAGUGGAAUUUCCAGUGUAGCAAUGAAAUGCGUAGAUAUUGGAAGGAACACCAGUGGCGAAGGCGACUACCUGGAUAGAUACUGACACUGAGACACGAAAGCGUGGGUAGCAAACAG